AUUGUUUCUUGGCUCUUUGGAGCUAAGAUGAAAGCAUAGUGGGUGUUAUUGCUGCAGUCUGUGAUAUGUCUUUGAGGUGAGCACUGUAUAUUAGCUUGAUUUUUGAAAGAAGAGGAUUAGUGAAAACAGGAGCUUGCUUUGUCUACCCUAUGCAUGGAUCUGGUAUUGCAGUGCUUCCAGGAACAGUGUAUCUUCU